AUGACCUGAGCAGAAACCCAGUCCCUUUUAUACUGCUACAGUGGCGCCACCUGAGCUAUGACAUAAUCAUGAUGGUCAACAGGUAGUGGAGACAAGAUAAAAGCCAUUGCAUUGCCCACCUCAAGGCCAAACAACUAGUAGAUAAGAAAAGAAAAGCCAGCAAGGGAAAAGCAAGCAAGGCGAAGGGAGACUAUUGCGCAGCUGAGAGAAUAGACAACUACGACCCCAAAAACAACACGUAUUACAUAAAGUGGCAAGGAUAUGAUGCGUCCCACAACUCAUGGGUAAAAGCGGAAGACGUAACUUCUCCUCUGUCUCAUCUCUUCUUACAAAGAAAAAUUAGGUAAAUCAUGAUUGAAAGGAUUAUGGCUGUGUGCUCUAUGCAGUUGAUGUUGUAGUGGUUGUGAGUCAGGCUGAUGCAGCAGUUUCUUAGAGGUAGUGCCCAAUUCGAACAACUGUAGCUUAUCACAUAAUUAUCGUUUAUCAGAAUUGUGGAGUCAAAAGGAAGGAUUGACAAUCAAUUUAUUGAAAUUCCUUCAGAUGAUACAUUAAAAGAUGUCAUAAAACUCACCUGUCCAUUCAAAAGGCUUUUGUAUUGCAAUUACAGAACGGUUUCUAUUCAAUAAAAACACUUCGCUGGUGAGAAAAUUGUUGGGAACACUUCAAAGCAGUGGAAGUCUUUGGUUCAAAGGCAUCUCAAACCAGUAUGAGGUUGCAGCAUGAAUGCAGUGUAAUUGAGAUUUGCUUGUUUUCUUCGCCUUAAUUCCAUAUAUUUUGGUAGUGUACCCUUGAAGAAAAUGAUAUGAUGUCGUGUGAUACUAA